GGGAUUGUGGCUCAGUGGUAGAGCACUUGCCCAGCAUGCAUGAGGCACUGGGUUCAAUUCUCAGCACCA
rnacentral:tRNA from 1 species